AUGGAUUUUCCGGUUGAUCCCGCCGGAGGUUACUGCCAUCGAGGUUCGACUAAGCCAUGCGAGUCGAAUGUAGCAAUACAUGGCGAACUGCUCAGUAACACGUGGACAACCUGCCCUUAGGUUGGGUAUAAACCCGGGAAACUGGGUAUAAUACCCGAUAGGUCUCGAUUGCUGGAAUGCAUCGAGAUUUAAAGCUCCGGCGCCUAAGGAUGGGUCUGCGGCCUAUCAGGUAGUAGUGGGUGUAGCGUACCUACUAGCCUACGACGGGUACGGGUUGUGAGAGCAAGAGCCCGGAGAUGGAUUCUGAGACACGAAUCCAGGCCCUACGGGGUGCAGCAGGCGCGAAAACUUUACAAUGCUGGCAACAGCGAUAAGGGAACCUCGAGUGCCAGGUUACAAAUCUGGCUGUCGAGAUGCCUAAAAAGCAUUUCAUAGCAAGGGCCGGGCAAGACCGGUGCCAGCCGCCGCGGUAACACCGGCGGCUCGAGCGGUAACCGUUAUUAUUGGGUCUAAAGGGUCUGUAGCCGGCCGGAUAAGUCUCUUGAGAAAUCUGGCAGCUUAACUGUCAGGCUUUCAGGAGAUACUGUCUGGCUCGAGGCCGGGAGAGGUGAGAGGUACUUCAGGGGUAGGGGUGAAAUCUUGUAAUCCUUGAAGGACCACCAGUGGCGAAGGCGUCUCACCAGAACGGACCUGACGGCAAGGGACGAAAGCUAGGGGCACGAACCGGAUUAGAUACCCGGGUAGUCCUAGCCGUAAACGAUACUCGCUAGGUGUCGGCCACGGUGCGACCGUUGUCGGUGCCGUAGGGAAGCCGUGAAGCGAGCC
rnacentral:rRNA from 1 species